UCAACUUGUAUAUGGAAAAACUUGUCACUUGCCUGUGGAAGUAGAGUUUAAGGCUCAUUGGGCACUCAAGAAAUGGAACAUGGAUCUCCACCUCGCUAGUGAGAAUCGUCUGAUGCAACUAUCUGAGCUAGAAGAAUGGAGAGAGAAAGCCUACCACAAUUCAAGGAUCUAUAAAGAGAGAACAAAACGAUGGCAUGAUAAGAGAAUCAAGCACAAGGAGUUUAAGCCUGGAGAUAAGGUUAUACUAUUCAAUUCAAGAGUUAAGCUCUUUGGGCAUGGUAAGCUACGAAGUAAGUGGGAUGGACCAUACAAGGUUAUUGACACUUCAACUCAUGGAGCCAUUACCAUCCAAGAUGACAUAGGUAACACUUUUAAGGUAAAUGGUCAACGCUUGAAAAUCUAUCUUGAGCCACAAAGCAACCUGGUAGAGGAACUUGAUGCGAUUGAGUUCAUAGAAUUCUCAUACUAAGCUCUCAUAAGCUCUAGACAAUUACCUAACCCUUAAUAUGCUCCACGAGUUUUGUUGUCUAUUUGGGUUGUGCAGGAUUUUGAGGCUUAAGAAGAGUGACACCGAACAUGCAGGCCACAAGAGUAAACGACUAUGUCAACAUCCAGCUUGGGGGAGGCACCCCCACGUGUAUCUAGAUAAGUAUUACUUUUCUUUCUUGGUUUUAUUUACUAGUAUUCAGAAAUAAAAAAAAAUGCAUAACCAUGAAACCAAAAAAAGUUUUUCUUUUGAGUAAUAUACAAUAGUUUUGUGUAAUCCUAAGUUUUAAAUAAAAAUAAAAAAAGUUUGAUUUAAGUCUAGGUAAUUGACAAACAUGAUAUGAGAAGGUCUGAGCUACUAUUUAACUUGUUCCAUGUUUUGCUAGAGUUCUGGAGAUUUUAUCUUUUAAAAAUCUAAAAAAUAUAAUAAUAAAAAAAAAUGAGAUCAUAAUACCUAGAGUCUUAUAAGAUAUAAAUAUUAAAACUGUGGGCACUUGCUUUGUUCAAGCCAUUGUUAAUUCUUGUAGUUUUGGUUGAGAGAAUUAUCAUGCUCCCAAGAUCAAGAUCUUUUUGUUUUAACAAUAUAAAAGAUUCACUCUUCUGAAGUAUUAUUGCGUUAGAGGCAUGGGACUAUGCAAAACUUUGAUUCGAAAAAAAGAGAAGUGAGACGAGAGGUAAAAAUGGACAAGUGUCCGAAGUAGAAUUAGGGGUACAAAGAUACCCACCUGAGUGAAAAAAGAGGACAUGUGUCCGACAGUAGAAUUAGGGGUACUCGCUGCCCACUUGAAAAAAAAGAGACUGAAAAAAAAGAAAGAAAAAAAAGAAAAGAAAAAAAAAAUGAUAGCCCAUGGUCCCUCUAAUAAGCAAUAUGCCAGUAAGAGAUGACAAACUUUUCAAAAAGGUCAAAGGUCUUGAUCUAGGAGUAUGACAUUCCUCUCCCUUACUCCGAGCGUUGACAUAGCAAAAUGCAAAGUAAGUAUGCUAAAACUUUUAAAGCUCUACUUAUAUAUCCUUCGAGAAAAAGGCAAAAGCCUCAGUUUUAUUUUGGGAACUUACAAAAAUACUCCAGAACAAAGGUAAGACAGAAGAACUUGAGACAUAGUGCUUGACUUGAUCGUUCUGUUUUUCAAUCACUUAAGACCUUAAAAACCCUGUAGUAAGAGGCAUAAAAGUAACCCCUGUUUUCUUGCUGAUUUUAGCUUUGCUCAGGGACGAGCAAAGGUUAAGCUUGGGGGAGCUUGUUGAUGGUCCUUAAUGCUCACAUUUAACCAUCAACUAAUCAUGGAAAAGGAUCCAAAUGCAACCAACACCUAGACUUAGGGUUUUAUCUGAUAGAAUUCCACGAGUUUUGGUGUUUGUCUAUUUCUACAGGGGGUUAUCAGGAAAUAUGAAAGAAAGGCCCACACGUCGGGUUUACAUAGAGAUAUUAACGUGCCGCGCAAUUUUCUACCAACUAGAAGAGUCCAGAAGCCACGGGAACGAACGGGAAGGAAAUCGGGCUCGGAGGCAGGGCGCCCGCCCAACUCUCCUGGGCGCCCGCCCAGCUACAGUGCCCAAUCAGGACACGUUUCGCGGAUUAUGCUCCACCGACCUAAAGGAUCAAGGAAAACCGUGCGAUCAAUGUCGGUUUGAUCCGACGGCCCAGAUUCACUUGAAGGGACUAUAAAACCAGACCCCCUUGGCCCCUGGAGAUCAUACCUCUUCUACAGAAUCAAAGCUAGGGUUUCAAUUCUUCAUCCAAGUAGAGAGGAUCCCUCUAGUUCUUCUAGUUCUACCUCUAGUUCAUCUAGAUCUAGUUCUAGUUCAUCUAGUUCUAGUUCUUCUAGUUCUAGUUCUAGUUAGUUCUAGUUGUAAUCUAGAAAAUAGGGAGAGAGAAGAGGAGAGCGGAGGAGGAGCCGGAUCUGUCGGAUCUUCCUCAACAUUGUAAUUUUGCAGCAUCUGGUUCAUUCUUCAUCGUUCUCCAGGUUCUUCAAUUCAUAAUCCUGAGUUCUUUAAUUACUUUUAUUUACAUUCAAGUUAUUUAUUGGAUUCCCGCUUGCAUCAAGUGCUCUAAUAUUUGCAACAUUAGAGUAGUAAUUAAUAGAUUAGACGUGGUGUUUAGUCUUGCAAUUACCUGGAAUUGCACCCAAUCCUGCGGAUUGUUGUGGUAGCCUUAGGGUAGUGACAGCCCUAACGGUCGACGUAUUCCACCUCGUUCGGAUCGGUGUUUGUAGGACAGUAGUCAGACCUUCCUAGCCCCCUUCUCAUCUCUCUCCGUGGUUAGUGCUCUGAUGUCCCGAUAUAGAUAAUCUUGAAGUAAUUCUUGAUUCUUAGAUCAACUAGAGAACUCUCAGGAAACUUCCUCUCUUCCCACCAAAAAUAAUCAUAUAGUUAUCCUUGGGCGAUCUUGGAUCUUAAUUAGUACACUCACGUUCCCUGUGGAAAAUCGAUACUCUGGAAUACUCCCGGGUGAAGGCUACAUCGGUAUCCGUGCGCUUGCGGAUUUUUCUGUUUGCGUUUAAAAUACCCAACAGAUGUGCGGCAGCUCAGUGCGCUGCUUCGAGAAGCGUCGAGCAUACUCUCGAAGAGUUUCUCCUGACUUCUGCUUGCACUUGCUGAGGUCCCACAAGUUGUCGGGCCGUAUAUAGGUCCCUUUGAAGUUACCCUCGAAUACCCUGACCAAAUCGACCCAGUCGUGGAUCUGGUUGGCUGGGAGCUCCUCGAGCCAUCUACGGGCGGUGUCGGAGAGGAUGAGUGGUAGCUGUCGGAUGAUGGCUCGAUCGUCCCCUCGAGCGCCUCCCAGCUGACAGGCUAGCUUGAAGUCCGCCAACCACAGUUCUGGCUUAGUUUCACCGUUGUAUUUAGCAACGCUAGUGGGGGGUCGAAACGGGCUAGGCAGUGGCGUGCUGCGGAUUGCUCUGCUGAACACCCGAGGGCCCGGUGGUUCCGAGGCCAUCCGGUCCUCGUCGCUGUCGUAUCUCCCACCAUGGUGGGCGCUGUAACCGCGCUCUUGUGCAUCCCCAUACCGACGGUGACGAUUUUCGUCGAUGUCGCGUCGUGCGUCGUGUCGUCUUUGGUUGUCGGCGGGAUGGUGGAGGACGAGCACUGUCUUUUUCCCUCGAGGGGGUGGCUGCUGAUGGACUGACACCUCUUUUUCGUUCUGGGCUGGCUCAUCACACUUUUCUGUAGCUGCCCCUCAACGUCGGGAGGCCAAGCUUUCUGCUUGCUGAACUGCCGCCACCUGGAGCAGAGUCUGCACCUUGUCUUGGAUGCGCCGUGCUUGGGAGUUUGAGGGAUCGGGCAUGUUACGCAACAACAUUGUUGCCGCCACAACGUUCUGGCCUACUCGAGGGAAGCCGCUGACAGGUUGUUCUAGCUCCCCGUCCCCGACGAUCUAUCGAUGUACCUCUCGAGCCCUUCUGUGGACACUUCCGCCUGGUGGGUAUGGCAGAUUCUGCUCAAGGAUUUGCUCAAGCAGGACGAGGCGCUCACAAAAUUCAUCAAGUUCUGUCUUGAGCUCUCGUAGCUGCACAAGUUGCGCGGCUCUGUCUUCUUGUGGAGGUGGGUUGACCUGUCCGUCAUUCCCAGGCGUCCUGGGGUCUUCCCUCGCUGCAGGGGCUCGACCGCCAGCAACGGCGUCUUGCGUCUCGUCAGUAGUUUCUACCGCCCCGUUGAUAUGGAAGCACUCCCUAGUAGGGUCGCAGCUGUCGGACUCAGAGCCGGAGUCCGGCUCGGCGGCUUAGAAGCAUCCACGUCCUUCCUCCAGCAGCCGCUGCCUGAGGGAGGUAAUCGUGUACCGCCCAGGGCCUAGGCAGCGGAGGCCUCGUACCUGCGAGAAGUCUGGCAGCUCGGAUGUCUGUGGCCGUGCUCCAUUGUCGCAUGGGAGGACCAUUGGUCUUUCCACGUACGUCUGGGUGUUUGGACAUAUCGUCCUGGCGAGCGAUGCUGCGGCGUUGUCCAGCCCGAACGGCAGCGCUCUUCUUGUGGCGAACAACCCGUGUGGAAGCAGCGUCGUGGCGGGCGAGAGUGCGCAAGGCACGCUAUCUCCCGUCGUCGUUGCGUGGUCUUUGUGGUGUCGGGCCGUCGAGCCCGCAGUUUCAGCGCGUAGGGAUGUCGGCUCAUGGAUCACCUCCCGCCUGGCGCGUACUGGCGAUCGUGAUGAGGCAGAGGGGUGAUGGUGGUGUUAUCCACGCCUCUUCUUGGGUGGGGAGGCGUGGUGGUGAGGACGUCUCGGAGCCUUCAAUCGUGCCGGCGUAACGCGAGCUCCUCCCGGUUCUUUGACCGAGAGUAAGAUCAUGUCAUAGCCCAAGCCGGUAGACAUGAACUCGAGGCUCCCAAACCAAAUCACUGUGGAGCGCGGAAUCGGUGAAACGAGAGUGGCCAUAUGGAAAGGAACGGGAAAUCGGUGAAAAACACGCAGGACCCCUACCUGGCGCGCCAACUGUCGGCGUUUUCCCCCUGGGGGGUCACACCAACGAGUAAAACUUGUAUGCGUGCUCCCUUUUCCGGAUGGUGAUGCAAAAAGACACAAAGAUUUAUCCUGGUACGUCCAGCGGGGGGGGGGGAGUUUGUAUUAUUCUACACCUAAGUGCCUGUACAGGGGUGAAUACAAACGUGGUAUGGAUGGAGAUGGAGUGAGUUGGCUCUGCUACGUAUGGCUUGUGUGUUGUGUUGUAUCGCGUUGUCCUCUAUCCGCUCCCGGGUCUCCCCUUUUAUAGUUCCAAGGAGAGACCUAGGGUACAUGUAUAGAUGUCAGAGUAGGGGUCGAUAGAGGUAUGGCGCACUAACCUACUCGAGGCCUCCGUACCAGCGUGGUCUCGAGCCGUCUUGUCUUGGUAGCUUGAUGAUGAUUACGCGUGCCCCUGUAUCCCGCUCUGUGCGUCGUCCUAGACUGGUUUAUUUGUUGCACGCUUGUACGUCACGACAGCACCUGCGUCAGACUGGUUGAAGUGCUAUCACUCGUCACCCGACCCUUCCCCAGGAAGGAAACGUGCCUACUUGAGGGUCGGAUGCCGUGUAACGCCUCGCUAGCCAGAGCGCUGAGUUUGGGCGUCUCGAUGGGGGUCUUGAUUAGACGUUCCGACCCAGUUUCUGCGUCCUGCCAUGUUCUGGCUCGUUUGGUGGUGAAGGCUACAAAAAGAAUGACAUGACGGGUGCCUGUUCCCUAUCACGCUUCCCGUGACUAGCGGGUUAGGUGGGAACGCGGCAGGCACAUUAAAUGCCCUGGUUCUCGUGCCCGCAUCAGGCGGCGGGCGGUGUCCUUGCGCUCGACGCCUUCUGAUUCGCUCGAGCCUGUUUCCGUAUUCGACGGUAGCCGGCGCUCGAGCCCUGAUCGAUUCGCAGGACGCUCUUUCUGUGUUCGAGACUAUGGCCAUCGAGGACCGUGCGUCUAACUGGGUAGGGCGUCGAGUUGGAGGCCUCGACUUUCGUACGGAUAUUCUCGUCAUGUACAUCAGUUAGGGUACCCCUUACUGAUAUCUUGACAGUCCUUACUACGAGGACGAAGCUCAAGUCAAGUGCUCAAUAUCCAGAAGCGAUGGCGAUUCGAAUCGAUUUCUGACUAGCUGGCGAGUUAUUCCCCACACAAACCACACUCACUGAUCAAGUGAGCUACAUAUCACCAUAUUACACUAUCCACGACCAAUUCGCGGGUUCGGCAGGCACCGCUAGUACUUGAGGACUGUUCCGGUAACCGAGGUAUCCAAGGUAUACCAAGGUUGCGCGCCGUGCCCUCGUCGUUCUCCUCAACCAUCUCCAAUAGAGCGCAUGGUGGCUCAACUCCCGGCCCGGAUAGUGUUCAGGCUUCGCGGUCGGAACGACUUGUCCUUCCAGCUAAGUGUGGGGCACGCGUUCAACAUGACAAGAGGGCCGUCAACGAUCGGUCCUUAAUCGACACAGACAGGGGCACUACGGUCAACACCACCAUAAGACCCUGCCCGGUCUCAAGUUCCUUCCCGCACUUGGUUACUUUUUCUCCAAUGCAUUGACCGCUAACAUUCAGGUAUCCACCUAUAUCUCGUAGGUGAUAGGAAAUCACCCGACUUCUACCGUACUAAGCAAGCUAAGCAAAAACUCCGAGCCUAUCUACAUAGGACAAGGUAGAUAAACAUGUGGUGAUAUCAAGGAGUAAAUGUGCAUCAACGGUGUCAAGCAACUCCUAUCACUUAAAUGCAGCAUAGUAAAACAAUUAUGAUAAAACAAUUAAGUUAGCUAGAAUAGGGAGACUUAGAAUGCUCCGAGGCUUGCCUCUCUCGAAGGUUCUAGGCCUGUGGUCCGGGCACUCCUGCAGAUCUCCUUCCGGCUCUGUUCCUUCUAGAAGUUCCUGCUCCUGUGUCUGCUCCUGCUCCUCAGGUCCCACCUCCUUCUCCUGCGAGCCUGUAUGAUGCAUGUGUGCUCCUGAGUGGGGUGCAAGAUGCCUGAGGUGCAAUGCUUAUGCAAGUCAAUACAAGAUGAUCAUAUCAUGGUGCAUAGAUGAGUAUGUACAAAGCCCAUCUCCAGUGGAGAUGAGUUCCAACGGAUAAAACAGGAAUCUGAUUUCUACAUGGUAGUCAACAUCAUCCAAGGAGAUAUAACCAAAUUAAAGCAUCUAUUGCAUUCUCUUCUACAAGUCAUUAUUAACCAGCAAGCUAUCAUGGUGCUUCAAAGAUACACCAAACACAAUUUAUUCUAUUCAUCUCAUGCAUAACAAGGUUUUAUGUAUUUAAUUAUUAUUAGGCCUACAAUAGUAGCAUAUAUUUCUGAUCUUCAAUAAAUUCUACAAAAAAUACAGUAGGUCACUGGUUAUUUAUCAAGUCUACCACAAAAUUUUCAUAAUAUUUGGACAGGUAAUCUUACCCACACAAAAAAAUCAUAAGUUUAACCUCAUAAUUAAGUGUAAAUACCCUACUGGUGACAAAGUGUCAAACCACAGAUUUCAUAUUUUUAUAAAUUACUUACUAUCACAAGAAAUGUCCACAAAAAUUUGUAGCAUAAUUACAUGAUCCAAUUAUUUAUUAAAAAUCAUAAACCAUUGCCAUGCAAGCAUUUAAAUCAUCAUAAAUUAAUUUAUACAGCAAUUAUUGUGUCACAUAUUUUUCCCAGAGACUAAACAUCCAUGCAAAGCUAACAAAACAAGAAUUGUAUUUUUUCUGAGUUAUAUUCUAUUUACUAUGCAUUUUCUCACUAACAUCAAACACAUGGAAUAAAUAAAUUUACACAGAAAAGUUGUACAAACAUGACAUGCAAUUUCACCAAGUUGUAGAUCUAGAUUUAUAGAACACAUCACAUUUUAUUUCAUCAUUUUUGGAGCCAUAAAUUUCAAGAUAUGAAUUUAAUACGAUUUAAAAUAUUUUUGAGAAAUCAUUUUGUGAAAUUCCGUUUCAAUCCACCCUGGACCCGGCUAGGUGCACCCGGUGCAGUGCAUCCGCUCUCAGCGCAAGCGACCGACACGUGGGCCACAGGUCCCACGUGUCAGCCACAGCAAAAGGGGGAGAGAACUCCGGCGAGCCGGAGCUCAUCGCCGGUGACCCCUUUCAGCGAACCAAGUACUCCUACAUGUUCUAUGGCUCAAGCGAACCAGAUGACCCCCUAUGCGCGACCUAGGACGGACCAAAGCGAGCUCGCCGCCGGCCAUGGCGGAACAGUGGCGCUACUCACCGUCGACCCGAGGCGCUGGCCCGGUAGAGCGCGAUUGGAGAGGUUCGGGAGCUUCGCGGUGCAGAGGCGAGCAUGAUGCGCUAGCUAGGCGGUGUAGAAAGGCACGGUGGCGCGCGGGCCACACGUGCGGCGGUGGCGCUGUCGCCGGAGAAGAAAGCGUGGGCGAGCGGGGGCUCACCGUGCGUUACCAAGCGGUCGGAGGUGUGUCCCGCAACGGCAAAGCGUGGGCGGAGCUCGAGGAGGGAGGAAUCGACGAAUGGCUCGCGCGUUGAGGAGGAACGGCCAGAGCGGAGCUCGGAGCUCCAAUGGCGACGGCGGUGCUCUGCGCACGCGCGGAGCGGGGGCGAGAGGGCGAGAGAGGGAGAGUGGACGAGCGCGAAUGGCAGCGGAGGGGGAGGCGAGUGCGACCGGGGGCUCCUAGUGGCCGUCCAGGGCGCGUCCACCUUGGCGCAUGUUGACACUAGCUAACACCACUUGAAUACUAGGUUGUCAUCCCCAGCAUGGUGUCAGAGUGUACAAAGGUAUUUAUAAAUAUGGAGGCUCUCUAGAAAAUAAUCUAUUCUAUCUGCAAGCGCACAGAUAAAACACCUCAUUAUAUUAUUUCACCGGGUAAGUAUUCCAGGUAUCGUUAUUUAUAAUUUUGCUUAGGAAAACAAAAGGUUAAAUGAAGAUAAGGAUAAACCUAUCAAGGCAUAGACUAGAGAUAAACUUGCAAGAACAUGAUUAAUAAUGAGAAACUCGUCACACAGUCACUUACUUUGGCAGGGGGUAAACCAUAAAGAUAAUGAUAAUGAAUUAUAAGUUCAUGGGUGAAUAACACAGCGAUUAGAAAAUAGACUACUCCUCAUAUAUGUAAGGUGAUGUCGGAUUAGCUAGAGAAUGGAUUCUAAGUUAUCUACUAUCUGCUAAGUCACAAUCUACUCUAGUUAUCUACAAGAUCAUGUAUAGCAUAAAAGACUCUUCAUUCAUGUAUAAGGAAUAUUGCUAAAGUAAAUUAGAGCAUCACAAGACUUACUCCGCAAUACAAAUUCUGCCUGUCCUAUCAACGGAGGGUGGACUAUAUAAGAAUCAAUAAAGCUGUCACUAUUGCGAACUACCACACAACCCGGCCAAUAGGAUACAUUUGUAGGUAAAUAAUAUUUAAGCACCACGCCCACAUAUGAUCUACCACUUAACUCCAGCGCGUCAAGAGCUAAGCGCUUUGCAAGCUUAUACAUAAACUCAUUAUCAAUCAUAACUAUAUCAAAUAUAGAACUAGAGCAAACUAAGAACAUAAUAAAUAGAGACAUAAUGCAAUUAGAACAAAGUAUUAGAGAAACAUAUGAAUAAUACCAAUCUUUAUUACCGAAGAUCCGAAUCCAGAGCAAAGGCUCUACUUCUCUAAUUACUAUCUAAUCAAUCCUCUAAACUUGAAGGAUUAGGGAGUAGCUAAUUCUAAUUCUCCGUGGGAGAGAAGUUCUAAACCCUAAAUUUGAUGGCUUCUUGUGAUAAUGAUUUCUCCUCUCUCCCCCUGAGGUGGAGAGGACUUGAUUAUGUAGUCCUUUCAAGUGAAUUUGGGCCAUCGGAUCAAACCGACAUUGAUCGCACGGUUUUCAAUGAGCGUAAUCCGCAAGAGGAGUCCUUUUUGGACUCCAACUCAGGGAGGGCGCCCAAGGGGGGAGGGCGGGCGCCCUGCCCCCGAGCCCGAUCGUCUUCCCGUUCGUUCCCGUGGCUUCUGGACUCUUCUAGAUUGAGGAAAAUUGCGCUGCAUGUAAUUAUCCCGUUGUAAACAUGACAUGUGGGCCUUCUCUCCAUAUUUUCUGAUAACCCCCUACAAAAAUAGAUAAACACCAAAGCUCGUGGAAUUCUGUCAGAUAAAACCCUAAUUCUACAUGUUUGGUGCAUAUUGAUCCUUUUCCAUGUUUAGUUGAUGGUUAAAUUUAGUACUUAAGGACCGUCAACAAACUCCCCCAAGCUUACCCUUUGCUCGUCCCUGAGCAAACAGCUAAACUCAGACGGAUCAGGAGUUGCUUCAAUGUUUUCUUUCCUGACAGGCACACAUGCUUUUAUAUAAAAAUUCUUCCAGAUUAGAGUGAAGUGUCAUGGAGCUUAGUACCUGCACUUAAGUCUUAAGUAAUUGAAAGACAAAAUAAUUAAGUCAAGCACUAUUCCUCCUGUCUAUACUUCACCUUUGUUCUAGAGUUUUGCAUAAGUUAAAAAUAAAACUCAGAGUUCCCAGCAAUGAUCUCUCAAGUCUCUCUAUAUGUGGUAUUUGUGGAUCCUUACCAAAAUGUCACUUACCUAUAGCUAAUGGAAUAUUUAAGUGGAGUUCAUAGGAGUGAAAAACAGCUCAUACAUAUGUUGUCUAAUCGAGCCAUGGAUCCAAAGGAACUCAGCAUAUAAUUAAAUCAAGAUGUCCAUGUGUGGUGGAGUAAAUGAUAGUGAUGGUAAAAAUGUAUAAGUGAUAAUAAAACUUACUUCUCAUUGCUCCUCAUAUUGUUAUCUCUCCUCUUCUUUGAUCUUUGCUUUGGGAGAACAUGGGUUAUCUCUUUUUUUUCAGGUGGGUAGUAGAUACCCCUAAUUCUACUAUCGGACACUUGUCCAUUUUUUCCGCUCAAGUGGGCAUCUUUGUAACCCUAAUUCUACUUCGGACACUUGUCCAUUUUUACCUCUCGUCUCACUCUUUCUCUUUCUUUUUCGAGGUUCCGGGCACUUGCCCCUUUUUAUUUCCUCGCAUAUUUUUGCAUAACCCAUGCCUCUUCUGCAUUGAAUCUUUUUGGAGAGAGAGAAUAACAACACUUGGGAUAGUGAGUGAUAAUAUUUUUAGCAAUUUUAAUGAGUGGUGGUGGAGGGUGUAGUAGAUGUGUGCAAGUGAAUAUCUUAAUUUAACCACAUGAAAAGCUCCUAAGGGUUUACACAUCUCGAUCAAACUCAAUGUGAAUAUAGUAAAAGAUGUUAUAGCAAGUAUGGCUGUGGUAGGUAGUUUGUAAUGCUAGGAACUCAUCAUGUGAUUUAUAAGUUUUCAAAAUAAAUCUCCAGAACUUAGGGUAGUAGGAACAAGAUAAACAGUAGCUUAACUUUAUAUCAUGCCUUUCUCUUACCUAGACUUUAGUUUUAUGCUUCCCAUAGAUAGUAAUUUCAGUUUUAGUAAUUUCUGAAAGAACUCUAAUAUAAAGCUAGGUACUUGAAAGUAAGCAAACAGAGCAAUUGUUCACCAUUUCCAUCAUGCAUCUUUUUGGACUCUUUAUUUUUUUCUAGAGAUUAAUACUUAGUAGAUAAAUAAAGCACACUUAUGUACACACUCUUUUUAUUUUCUUUUCAUGUUUGUAGAAUGCAGUGAUUUAAAGCAAGAAAAUAUUUAUUGGGUUUUCUAAGUUUUUCUCUAUAAGCUAAAUACUAAAAUAGAAAAGAAUAAAUAAGAAGAGCAAAUAAAAACUUACUUGAUAAAACGGGGAGAAACUCCCCCAAGCUGGAUGUUGCUGUCGGUCUUACUCAAUAUUCCAGAAUCGCAUCAUGAUGGUGAUGUUGUCGUUCAUUGUCGUGGUGUCUUGUCUCAGUUCUUGUACUGUAGUGGCGUGGUCCUAGUUCCAUUUUUGUUGCUGUUCCAGGAGUCGUCCAUGUUCUGCUUCCGUAUUCUGGAUGUCGAGGAGAGUGUUGUCGGUACGGGUGAAGACAGCACCGACCUCUUGGUAGUAGUCGUUCGUGAAAGCAUAAGAGGCGUCGGAGUAUCGUCCUGCAUCGAAUUGGGGCGGAGGUCUGGAUCUUGAAGCUCUAUAUGGAUCAGUGGAGUACCUGCCCGUUUGGAAAGGCGGGUUUGUCCACUGGUGAUCUUGGCUCUCUGGCCAUGUCUCCUAUGUUGGCUCUUGUGGUUGCGCAUGUCGAACCUAUGGGUCUCGAAGGACUCAGGGGUUGUAGUCGCAAUAAUGCAGGUGCGUUGCUUCUUCUGGCCCAGGAUCAGCUCCAUACUAGGUGCGUUCUUGAUGGGUGGUCAUCCUUUUAGAUGUCACUCGUUGUGGAGCUCUCUGGUUUACUAGUGUUACUGCAAUCUCAAUCAAAAAAUUUUGAACAACAUAGAGGCCAAGGUUCGGGUUAGGUAACCGAAUCUUGCCUUUAUUGUCAUAUAGCAUAUACAUUAUGUUCCCCUCUUUCUUCAACAUCCGAGCUUGUCUAAAUGUGUCGUAGCCAAGAUAAAUCUGUAACUCAUCUAUGAAUUCCAAUGAUGAAUUUUCUAGUAAAUGAAGACUAGAGGCUAGAUGAGUGAUAAGUGAAGUACAUCCUACUGGUCCCUAAAGACUAGGUAUACUAAGCCAAUGAGAAACCAAAAGUGUAACAGGUGAAGUGGGUACUUUAUUAAUAGCAGCAUAUAGAAGUUGCAAAUCUCCUACUCUUAAUUUUCUAAUAUCAUCACGGUAGAAAAGAUUGUACCCAAGCCAUUUGUGGAACAUCCUAAGAGUGGGGUGUUCCAUGUCACUGGUUCGGGCUUGACUAUAAAAAUUAUCUCUAGAUAUCUCUCUCCAGAACUGGUGUCUCUCAAAGUUAGGUAGGUCAGAGUCAAUGUUCAGGAUGCAUCUUGAAGAGAAACCAAGAUGGUCGCUCAGUUCUCUCCAAGACAACAUAAUCUCUUGUUUGAACAUCCAAAAAACAAUUCCCCCCUCAUAAUAUUGUAAAGUGCAAAGAAAUUCAAGGGUGAGAAGACGAGAACCCAGCUCAGUUAUGUUCCAAAAUUUUGUCCAACCGAACAUCUGGAAAAUUAAAUCGAAUUCAGUAUCCAUACCUGUUUCUUGUAGCAAGAUUGGAUCAAGAGUAGGGGUGUGAAUGAAAUCUUUGUUCUUUAACUGCUGGUAAACUUCCGUUUCCCUUCGGGUCUUCAGUCCAAGGUCUCCUAUCUUAAGGAGGACCUUGACUUGCUGAUCAGAUGAAGAUGACGGAGCUUAUGUGGGCGUCGGGUGUUGACGGUCCUUAAGUACCAAAUAUAAUCAUCAAAUAAAUAAAGAAAAGGAUCCAAAUGUAACCAACACCUAGAAUUAGGGUUUUAUCUGACAGAAUUCCACGAGUUUUGGUGUUUGUCUAUUUUUGCAUGGGGUUAUCAGGAAAUACGGAAGAAAGGCCCACAUGUCGGGAUUACAUAAAGAUAUCAACGCACCGCGCAAUUUUCUACCAUCUAGAAGACUCCAGAAUCCAUGGGAAGAAAGCAGAGGCCGAAAGGGGCCAGGCCCAGGGCGCCCGCCCUCCUUCCCUGGGCGCUCGCCCUGACUUGGACUCCGUUCGGGACUCUCUUCGCACACGAUGUUCCACCGAAUUAAAGGAUCAAGGAUAACGUAGUACCACAUCGCCUACCGACCCAAAAACGCAUAGAUGAGGAGGACUAUAUAAGGAGACCCCCCUAGCCCCUGGAGAAGACAAGAAGUUAUCAUAGAGAUUGAGGGGUGCCCUCGAAGGAAAACCUCUUCUCUAAAUAAUAUUUCUUUUUCGGCUUAGCAACCAAUGUAAGUAGAAAUAGAUCUUCUAGUUUCUACUAGAUUGAGAGAGAUAGAGUGAAGGUGUAGAUCAGAGGAAGGCCGGCCUGUCGGUGUCUACUCUGAGUUGUACCUGCGGGAUCAAGUCUUCUAACCCGAGGCUUGCUCCUAAGAUUCUUCAGUAAUUCGACUUCUAAUUCUAGUAAGUUCUUGUUUUAUUGUUCUUUGGUUUAUGAGUUUACUUUAAUCCUCUUCCGGUUGAGUAUUAGAGUAAUCAUUGCUAGCGUAAACGUGGUGUUUAGGCUAGGGUACUCAUAGAUAUCCCCUGACUAGCUGGACCGUGGUAGUAGCGAGGAACGUGACAUUUCCAAGUUACCUUUGCAGACCAUACCUCGUUAGCAGGACGGGUAGGUUUAUAGGUGCGGGUCGAACAUCCUUUGCGGUGUCUAGAUUCCGUAAGCUUCCCCAAUAGAAUAGUAGAUCAUCCUUACCAAGGUUAGAACGAGACUACGGUUGCAGUCUUCUCUAUACAUCGCUCACAUCGAGAAACAUUCUUUGUAGCCUAAAGGGAUAGUAGCAAUAGAUUUGGUUAGUCAGAUGCACCCUUUCUCCCAGUGGUAAAAAUAUAAAUAUGAUAACUCUGGAUAACCUCCCGGGUGAAAUGCUCACUGAUAUCCGUGCGCUUGCGGAUCAUUUCCUUAUUGCGUUACCAAAUAUCAACAUCGGGUCGACGCUCAUCUCUGAUGGGUGCGAGGAGUGUCGGGAUGAACUCCUUGUACAUAUGUUCUUUAGGGCCUUCCCUGCGUUCUUCACCUUCUUAAACAUCCUGUAACCAAAAGUUGGCAAAAACACAACUAGUGGAAAAUUUGAGAGAAAAUGUUAGUGGUCAGCUGUCCGGAAUGUCACUAGUCUAGGGGUUAGUCGUUCAAGACAAGUUUUUAUUUUGGCAGAACCUCCCCCUAAACAAAUUUUACUUCCGCUUAGGACAGCGGGAUCACUACUUUCUAGGUGAACCUUACUCUCUUACUCAAAGACUACCAACCUUUCUUCCACUCUUCUUUUCCUCUCUACUCUCUUUCUUACUUCACUACAAGAGCUCCUUCUGUAGAAACUGAAACUUGCGCGGUUUUCUGGAAUGCUGGUGUGAAGAAGAUGGAGGCAGGAGGUGGCAAUUUAUAGGAGGAAGGAAGGGCAGGGCGGGCACCCUCUAUAGGUGGGCAGGCACCCACUUGUGGUGCCCAUCCUGUCUGCCCUUUCUCCACUCCCUCCUUUGCUUAACUCUUACGCAAAAUAAUAGAUCAUGGGUGGUGGUUGGUCGGUGGAAAAGUGCUGGUGAGUGGAGUUAUGUUGGUGUAUCAAAUAAUGUGAUGGGAUGUGUGUGAGGUGUGGUGUAUGACAUGUGGGACCCAAGGAGUGUGGGUCAUGCUUCUAGAAGGUUGCUAAAAUUAAAUAUAAUGCAGAAAAAUCUAUGAGAAUUAAAACUUAUUGAAAUGAUACUGGAAAAUAUUUUUGUGCCUCCAUAAUAAUUAAUAAAUAUGGGUUGUUACACACCAUAAAUAUUAUUUAUAUGGGGCUUUUCAUUAUUAUAAUAAUGCUAUAAAUAAAUAUGACUAACGCAAGAAUUAAAUAUGAGAGAUUUAAUAAUGCGGAUAAAUACCGAUUUACCUCCCGGUGAGGGUUUGGGAUUUUUAGGUCCCCCAAGCUGGACCUCCAAAUCUUUUAAUCUUCUGAAUUACCUUCCUCCAGAGAUGGUGUCUCCAGUGGUUCUUCUUCAUGAACUUCCUUCACUGUAGAGUCUCUCUCUAGUCUGGGCUUGAAUGUGAAGUGUUCUUGUCCGUUUAUGUUGAAUUUGAUUUCUCCUUUCCCAACAUCAAUGUGGGCAUUGGCGGUGCUCAGAAAUGGCCUUCCAAGGAUGAUGAAUACUUUUGAGUCAGGACUCAUGUCCAAUACCAAGAAGUCUACUGGCACAAGGAAAUCUCUUAUCCUGACUGGAAUGUUUUCAGCGAUGCCCAAUGGGUGUCGAACUGAUUGAUCCGCUAGUUGCAGGCACAUUGAUGUUGGUUCUAGGGUCGUAUGCUCAAGCUUCUCGUAGAUUGAUGCUGACAUCACACUGACACUUGCUCUGAGAUCACAAAGUUCAUUGUUGAAGUGUUGGUUUCCGAUCGAGCAAUCAAUAGUGGGGCAUCCUGGAUCCUUCUUCUUUCUUGGUGGUUUAUUGAGGAUGGCCGCACUACAUUUUUCUGUCAGCUUGAUAACCUCAGUGGUGAGUAGUGGUCUCUUCUUGUUAAGAAUAUCUCCGAUGUACUUUGCAUAUGUAGUUACCUGUAUGGCAUCAAGCAGAGGUAUGUUGACAUAUAAUUUCGGAAUGACCUCUACAAACUUACCAAACUGCUCAUCCGACUGCAGUCCUCUGUUUCUUCUAGGAAAUGGCAAAUAGUUGGUGUCGUAAAAAUCUUUCCUCAUUUCUCCAGUUCUUGGUGGUUGUAGCAGAUCUUCUGCUUCAACUGGGCUUUCUUCUUCUAUCACUGCUGGUUGCACUGGUGCUGAUGUUCUUUGUUUCUCUUUUGGGUAUGGGGGAUCCCUGGUGGCUUUGCCUCCUCUAGUAGUUAUGUUCUUUACCUGCUCAAUGUUAGUAGCAACAGGCAGUGCAGCAGCUAGCUUUAUUAAUUUAAGCUCUACUCUUUUAUUAAGAGUGUUUUGCUCAUCGAAGGUAGUUAAUAGUAAAUCCAUUUUAUUGUGUAUAUCUUUUAGAGAUGAUUCAUUUGUAUCUAGCCUUUGUUUAACUUCAUCAUUAGUUUUGGUGUAUUGAGCAAUUAUCUAUUUUAAUGAAAGUUGCUUGAAAGUAUUACCUGAAUUCAUACCUUUGCUGUUGGGUUGACUCGAAGUGGUUUGAUAUUUGUGUGCUGUCUCAAUAGCCCUUUGAUCUUCUUUGAACUUGGCCCUCUGGUCAAUCCAAUGGAGCAAAUUUUCCAUCUUAGUUGAUAAUGCUUUUACUUCUUCUGGUAUUUCUUCAGUUUGAUGAAAUUGUUGAGCUUCAUCUUGGAACCAGCUAUGGUUUUCUGCUAUCUUAUCCAAAAGUAUCUCUGCUUUUCCAAUUGUAAGCUCCAAGAAUGAUCCUUUAGCACAUGCAUCUAGGCACUCACGAGCCUUCUGGGUUAAUCCAUGGUAGAAGGUCUGCAUAAGUAACCAUGUGGCCAUUCCAUGGUGAGGACAAUUGUUGAUAUUUGGGAACGCAAUAAGGAAUUGAUCUGCAAGCGCACGGAUAUCGGUGAGCACUUCACCCGGGAAAUUAUCCAGAGUAUCGUAUUUAUUUUUUUACCACUAGGAGAAAGAGUGCAUCUGACUAACCGGUCUAUUACUACUAACCCUUUAGGCACAAAGAAUGACUUUCGAUGUGAGUGAUAAAUAGAGAAGGAAGACUGCAACCGUAGUCUCCUUCUAACCUUGGUAAGGAUGAUCUACUGUUCUAAUGGGGAGGCUAACAGAAUCUAGACACCACAAAGGAUGUUCAACCCGCACCUAUAAACCCUAUCCUUCCUGCUAACGAGAUAUGGUCUGCAAAGGUAACUCGGAAUUGUCACGUUCCUCACUACUACCACGGUCCAGCUAGUCAGGGAAUAUUUAUGAUUACCCCAGCCUAAACACCACGUUUACGCCAGCAAUGAUUACUCUAAACUCUACGCGAAGAGAUUAAAGUAAACUCAUAAACCAUAAGAACAAUAAAACAAGAACUUAAUAGAAUUUAGAAGUCGAAAUACUCAAGAAUCCUAGGAGUAAGCUUCGGGUUAGGAGAACUUGAUCCCGCAGGUACAAGCUUGGAGAAGACACCGACAGGUCGGGCUUCCUCCAAUCAACACCUCCACUCUAUCUCUCUCAAUCUAGUAGAAACUAGAAGAUCUAUUUCUACUUUACAUUGGUUGCUAAGCCUAAAAAGAAAUUUUAAUUAGAGAAGAGGUUUUCCUUCGAGGGCACCACUCAAUCUCUAUGAUAAUUUCUUCAUGUCUUCUCCAGGGGCCAGGGGGUCUCCUUAUAUAGUUCUCCUCCUUUAUGCGUUUUUGGGUCGGUAGGCGAGGUGGUACUAUGUUUUUCUUGAUCCAAUAGGUCGGUGGAAUAUCCCGUGCGAAGAGAGUCCUGAUUGACAUCCAGCAGGGGGCGGGCGCCCAGGUCUCCAGGGCGGGCGCCCUGGGCCUGGCCCCUUUCGGCCUCCGUCUUCUUCCCGUGGCUUCUGGAGUCUUCUUGAUGGUAGAAAAUCGCGCGGUGCGUUGAUAUCUCUAUGUAAUCCCGAUAUGUGGGCCUUUCUUCCUUAUUUCCUGAUAACCCCCUGUAGAAAUAGAUAGACAACAAAACUCGUGGAAUUCUGUCAGAUCAAACCCUAAUUCUAGGUGUUGGUUGCAUAUUGGUCCUUUCUCUUGUUUAUUUGAUAAUUAAAAUUGAUACUUAAGAACCGUCAACAAAUACCCCCAUACUUAGGCUUUUACUCGUCCUCGAGAAAAGGAUGGUUAAGAACAAUAUCUGGGGUAAACCAUUUUAAAAGCAUUCUCUUUAUAAUUGCAGGGUUUUUUCAAAAAAAAAAAUCCAUUGUGUACCAUAGUCAGGGAUGUUUAUGGUUAAGAGUAAAGAUCCUUUCUUCUCAAUCCUAUCACUUGGAGUUUUUGUAUAUUUUUGAAAGAAAAUUAGCAUACCUUUUUAUCCUCAUAGGUUCUUCUCAGAUCACUCAUUAUCUUUUAUAUCUCACUGAGGUUGUUUUAUUUUGCUAAAAUUCUCAAGAAUACUUACUUUACAUUUAUUGCCUGAUCAGAACGGGAUCCGAGGAGGGAAAUGUCAUACUCUUAGAUCAAAGACUUUGGAAAUUAAAAUCUUUGUCAACUCUUGCUGGCAUAUUGCUUAUUAGAGGGACCAUGGGCUAUCAUUUUCUCUUUUUCUUCUUCUCUCUCUUUUUUUUAAGUGGAUACCGAAGUACCCCUAAUUCUACUGCUGGACACUUGUCCAUUUUUACGCGAGGUUGUCGAGCACUUGCUCCUUUUUAUUUCCUCGAAAUAUCUCUAUUUUUGCAUAGCCCAUGCCUCUAAUGCAAUAAUACUUCGGAAGAGUGAAUCUUUCUGGAUAAAUGUCUUGAUCUUAGGAGCAUGAUAAAUCUUUCAACAAGGGUCUAACUCAUUUUGAACAAACUCAAUACAGAGCAGAUAGCUUUUAUAAUUAAUAUUCAAUAUUUUCAGUUCUAUCAGGCAUAUAAAACACUGAGGAUGGUAGCUAGAAUUUUGAAUAUUUUGAAAUAAAUUCUCCAAGCAACAAUGAUAUCAAGAAUAAGAAACUCAUACUCUACCAUCACAUAUUCCACAAUGACUUAAGUAACACAGGGUUUUAAAAUGAUUUUAUAAUAAUUGCAAGGCUCAGGAAAUAUAACAGAGUGAGAUUAAUCAUGAUUAGAAAUAUUUUAAUCUUUUUAAUUUAUCAUGCCGGAAACAGUAAUCUGCAUAAUCAAGAUAGUUGUAUGUGUAAAGUAAAGUGUGCAGAGUGUGUACCUGAAUCGUGGAGUGGUGUGGUCGGGGUGUGUUUAGCAUGUCGAGGGAUCUCCCCCAUACUUGUUUUCUGCUUUCUUGCACAAAAAUAAAGUAGAGACACACAAGACAUAAUAAUAAUAAUACUCUUUAUUAAUCUUGAGGCAUUUAUUACAAAAGACUAGUAGCAAACUGAUAAUAGCAAACUGAUGAUAAUAGCAAACCUAAACCGAAUUUACAGAUAGAUGACAAAAAUGCAUUGCCUCAAGGUCUNNNNNNNNNNNNNNNNNNNNNNNNNNNNNNNNNNNNNNNNNNNNNNNNNNNNNNNNNNNNNNNNNNNNNNNNNNNNNNNNNNNNNNNNNNNNNNNNNNNNNNNNNNNNNNNNNNNNNNNNNNNNNNNNNNNNNNNNNNNNNNNNNNNNNNNNNNNNNNNNNNNNNNNNNNNNNNNNNNNNNNNNNNNNNNNNNNNNNNNNCGGUGAGAACUGGUUGAACAUGGUAAGAUUGGGCGGAGCUGCGUUGGCGCAAUGGCAUGGCUUCUAGCUGUCGCUCUGUGUUGGCCGGGACGAGUGCACGGGCAUCGGGGUCUUCUACAGGCUCCAUGUUGAGGUUGAAGGGGACGACUUCCCAAUCAUCGUGGUACUUCUCGGCCAUUGGAGCAUCAAGGAACUAAUCAAGCUCUAAUUGAAGGAGAGAAGGCUUGGUGGCUUGGUGUUUGAAAACUGAGGUCAGGGGUCUGUUUAUAUAGAGGUCAAAAAGUGCCUCUAUGGGUUGUUCGGGUUUCUCCCGUCGAUGUGCGUGCGAAACUUUCCAUCCGAGGGAUUAUUCGGAUUACCAUAAGUGCAUUUUCCAUAACAGAGAAAAUCGGGACCGAGGGGGAACCGGAGCUGGGCGCCCGCCCUCUCUCUGGCCCCUCUGUGGGCCCACUUUCUCGAGCGCGUUUCUAGAUACGAAAUUAUUUAGAAAAAUAUAUAUAUGACCCAAAAACAUCAGACUAAAAAGGUCGGGCUCUAAUUCUCCAUGGGAAGGUAAAAAUGGACUACAUCUAUUUCUUCAAAUUCUUCAUUGGGCUCUAAGACGUUGACCAUUUACCUUGAAUAUCGUACCUUCGCUAUUUUGAAGUGUGAUAGCUCCGUGGGAUGAUGAAUUAAUUACCUUGAAUGGUCCUUCCCAUUUGCUUCGGAGUUUUCCAUGCCCGAAAAGCUUCACCCUGGAAUUAAAAAGUAAUACCUUAUCUCCGGGUGUGAACUCCUUCUUCUUGAUUCUCUUGUCAUGCCACCUUUUGACUCUUUCUUUGUAGAUCUUUGAGUUGUGAUAUGCUUUCUCUCGCCAUUCUUCCAAUUCUGAAAGUUGCAUUCUUCUAUAAUCUCCAGCAACAUCUAGGUCCAUAUUCCAUCUCUUUAUGGCCUAGUGUGCUUUGAACUCUAGUUCAACGAUGGCAAGUCUUCCCGUACACCAAUUGGUAUGGAGACAUUCCGAUUGGGGUCGUGUAUGCUGUCCGGUAUGCCCAGAGUGCAUUGGGUAACUUGUCUUUCCACGCUGUUCCCAUUUCAUUUACUGUCUUCUGAAGAAUAUUCUUGAUUUGUUUGUUGGAAGUCUCUCCUUGGCCACUUGUCUGAGGAUGAUAGGGGGUAGCAACGUUGUGACGGAUUCCAUGUUUUGCUAGAUAUUGCUUGAAGCGUUUGUCAAUGAAGUGUGCUCCUCCAUCACUUAUCACUACUCUGGGGACUCCAAAUCUUGGAAAUAUAAUUUCUUCAAACAUCCUCUCUGAACUGACGUUGUCGGCAUGCUUGCAAGGUAAUGCUUCUACCCACUUGGAGACAUAGUCAACCGCCACCAAGAUAUACUCGCACUUCUUUGAUGGAGGAAAUGGACCCAUGUAGUCUAUUCCCUAGACAUCAAAGAGCUCCAUCUGAAGGUUGUUGGUGAGUGGCAUUGCAUCCCUUGUAUUUAUGUUUCCGUGUCUUUGACAUGGCCCACAUCUUCUGAUAUAUUGCUUCGUGUCUUCAAACAUUGUAGGCCAGUAGAAUCCACACUGCCAGAUCUUUGAAUGUGUACGAAAUGCUCCAUAGCGACCUCCAUAUGGUGAUGAAUGACAUCUGUCGAUGAUCUUCCAUCCUUCCUCAGUGGUCACACAUCUCCUGAGUAAGCCAUCAGAGCAUACUCGGAAGAGGUAUGGCUCAUCCCAAAUAUGUGAACGACUUUCUUGAAUAAGCUUCUUCUUGUUUGCUCCUGGUGGUACAUACCCUGAAACCAUAAAAUUAACAAUAUCUGCAUACCAGGGGUCAGACCUGUUAAUCCCGUAGAGCAUGUCGUCCCGGAGUGAAUCAUUGAUGGGGGUUUCCUGUGGACUCUUAAAAUACAUUCUAGACAAGUGAUCAGCAACAUAAUUUUCUACUCCCUUUUUAUCUUUUAUUUCUAAGUCAAAUUCUUGGAGUAAUAAGAUCCAUCUAAUCAGGCGAGGUUUAGCAUCUUUUUUAGUGAGAAAAUAUUUUAGUGCAGCAUGAUCAGUGUAAACAAUUAUUUUAGCUCCAACUAAAUAAGAUCUAAAUUUAUCAGUGGCAAAGACAACAGCCAGAAGCUCUUUUUCAGUGGUUGCAUAAUUAAGUUGAGCUCCUGUCAAAGUUUUACUGGCAUAAGCAAUUGCAUGAUGCUUCUUAUUUUUAGUUUGUUCUAAUACUGCCCCCAAAGCAUAAUCACUAGCAUCACACAUAAUUUCAAAAGGCAACGACCAAUCAGGGGGUUGAAUGAUUGGUGCAGAGAUGAGUGCUUUCUUUAAUAAAUUGAAAGAUGUUAGACAUGCAUCAUCAAAUUCGAAAGGAGCAUCCUUGGCUAGCAAAAGAGUAAGUGGUCUAGCAAUAAAUGAAAAAUCUUUUAUGAAUCUACGAUAAAAACCAGCAUGGCCAAGAAAGCUUCGAAUUCCUUUUAUGUUCACAGGUGGAGGUAGUUGUUUAAUUACUUCAAUUUUAGCUUUGUCUACCUCAAUACCUCUUUCAGACACUAGGUGUCCUAGCACUAUUCCUUCCCUAACCAUAAAAUGACAUUUUUCUCAAUUAAGGAUUAAGUGCUUUUCUUCACAUCUUUGCAAAACCUUGUCUAAGUUUUCAAGACAACUAUCAAAAGUUUUUCCAUAAACAGAGAAAUCAUCCAUGAAAACUUCCAUAAUCUCUUCAAUCAUAUCAGAAAAUAUAGACGUCAUGCAUCUUUGAAAAAAAGCUGGUGCAUUACAUAACCCAAAAGACAUUCUACGCUAAGCAUAAGUUCCAUAAGGGCAUGUAAAAGUGGUUUUGCUUUGAUCAUCAGGAUGGAUCGGGAUUUGGUGAUAUCCUGAAUAUCCAUCUAAGAAACAGAAGAACGAAUGGUUUGCUAACCGCUCUAGCAUCUCAUCUAUAAAAGGUAAGGGAAAGUGAUCUUUUCUCGUGGCUUUGUUUAGUUUUCUAUAGUCUAUGCACAUCCGCCAUCCUGUGACGGUGUGUUGCGGAAUUAGCUCAUUCAUUUCAUUCAUAAUAACAGUCAUGCCUCCCUUUUUAGGCACAACUUGAACUGGGCUUACCCACUCACUGUGCGGCACACGAUAUAUAGUCCCUGCAUGCAGCAACUUUAUAACUUCCUUUUUUACUACCUCUCUCAUAGUGUUGUUAAGUCUAUGUUGGGGUUCUCGAGAGGGUGAAACAGAAGGAUCUGUUGGAAUACGAUGGGUACAAAUCAUAGGACUGAUUCUUGUAAGAUCUUGGACUGAGUAGCCGAACACUGAGUGAUGUUUGUCACGAAUGGUCAUUAAUCGCAGAGUUUGAUCCUGAGUGAGUUUAUCACUAAUGAUUAUAGGGAACUCUGGAUUAUUGUUUAGGAAAGCAUAGGUAAGACCGGUGGUAAAGUUUUAAGCUCUAUGGGGGUCUAGGUGCUUCUGCAAACUCAUCUAAGGGUUCAGGCUCAGAAAGUUCGGUUUCUUCUUCAGUGAACAAAAGGAGUUUCGUCUUCUAAGUCUGAUUCAUCUAAAAGCUCUAGAGAUGCAGCCUUUACCUCCUCCAUAGGAUCAGGCAAAAGAUAUGAUUUGGCCUUAUUGUUUAAGGAGUGUGAAAUUGUUAUUGGGAUUUUAAAGGUUUUUCCAAAAGAAAUGUGUAGCUUUCCAGUAUGACCUUCAUAAAGGAGUCUUCUAAAACCUGUCCUAUCAACAGGUCGAAGUCCCAUGUAUCAAAGAUAUAGAAGUUCAAAUGAACCAUGGAGCCUUCUACCGUAAGAGGUAGGACAUUAAUAAUUCCAAGACUGGGGACUAAUCGUCCUGAAGAUUCCUUUAUGACCUUUGUUGUGGGGGUUAAGACAAGAUUUUUAAAUAGUUUAAGUGCAAAAGAUUCAGACAUGAUAUUUAUCCCCACAACAGGAUUAUAUAGAGCAUUAAAUCGAUCAGAAUUAUAAGCACAGUGUAUAGUUAUAGAGGGUGUGUCCAAACGGAUCACAUCAGAGGAAAGCUCUGAUUCCUCCAACCAUUCGCUACUCAUUACUGAGAUAAGCUCUCUCAAUUGAUGUUCACUUGGCAAAUAAAUGCUAAACUGGCCAUUUUGGGGUUUGUCAAUAGAAUGGUAGUUUGAAAUGUUUCCAAAAUCGGCAAAAAGAUCGGAUUCUAUAUCCAGCAUGAAGUCCGGUGGUGGAAUUUCUUCCUCUUGUGGCUCAGAACUUGGGAUAGCUAAAGUAGUUGAAGAAUUUGGCAGAGUGUCUACUUCGGCUUCGUAGGUUUCAUCAUGAAGGGUAUUAUCCAUCUCAGCUUCUAGGAUUCUAUCUAGGAUCACUCUAGCUUCAUCAGCAGGGAUGCGAAAGAAAGAACCUCUAGACAUUGUGUGUAGCAUUUGUUUGUGAUUUUUAUGAAGACCUCGAAAAAAGUGGAAUAAAAGAACAGAGUCUUCAAGAUUAAGGUUUGGACCAAAUUCUAAAAGAUCAGAAAAACGUUUCCAGGAUUUUCCCAAAGUUUCAUUAUCUUUUUGUUUAAAAGAUAGGACUUCGAGUCUAAGGUCGGCUAUACGGUCAAGGGAAUAGAAAUCUAGAUAAAAGUUGGCUCGUAAAACUCCCCAUUCACCUUGUUGUUGACUUACCUUCUGACUGUACCAUUGUCUAGCUUCUCCCCUUAAAGAAAAAGGAAAAAGCUUCCAACGUAAAGUUUUAUCAGAAAUGCCUUCAAUACGAAAAGAAUCACAUGUUUGCUCAAAAUCUCUACUAUGAAGGUAAGGGUUUUCAUCUUCCUUUCCCGAAAAAGAUAGGUUUUGAAUCAUGGCAAUCAACCUAGAACUUAACUUAUACUGGGAUGUUUGGAUAGGCUGUGAUGAUUCCCAUGGUAAAAGGUCAGUUACUGAAGGGAUUACAGAUUCAUGGAUCGAUUUAGAAUUUUGGUUUUCCAUAAGGUAAGGGUAAAGAAAAUAAAUAAAGAAUAUAAAAGAUAAGAAAAGAUAAAAGUAUAGAUACAAGCUAGUAGUAAGACUCAGGUUAUCUCAGCAACCGUCUUUCUCCCCGACAACGGCGCCAGAAAUGCUUGUUGAUAUUUGGGAACGCAAAAAGGAAUUGAUCCGCAAGCGCACGGAUAUCGGUGAGCACUUCACCUGGGAAAUUAUCCAGAGUAUCGUAUUUAUUUUUUUUACCACUAGGAGAAAGAGUGCAUCUGACUAACCGGUCUAUUACUACUAACCCUUUAGGCACAAAGAAUGUCUUUCGAUGUGAGUAAUAAAUAGAGAAGACUGCAACCGUAGUCUCCUUCUAACCUUGGUAAGGAUGAUCUACUGUUCUAAUGGGGAGGCUAACGGAAUCUAGACACCACAAAGGAUGUUCAACCCGCACCUAUAAACUCUAUCCUUCCUGCUAACGAGAUAUGGUCUGCAAAGGUAACUCGGAAUUGUCACGUUCCUCACUACUACCACGGUCCAGCUAGUCAGGGAAUAUCUAUGAGUACCCCAGCCUAAACACCACGUUUACGCCAGCAAUGAUUACUCUAAACUCUACAUGAAGAGAUUAAAGUAAGAUCAUAAACCAUAAGAACAAUAAAACAAGAACUUACUAGAAUUUAGAAGUCGAAAUACUGAAGAAUCCUAGGAGCAAGCUUCGGGUUAGGACAACUUGAUCCCGCAGGUACAAGCUUGGAGUAGACACCGACAGGCCGGGCUUCCUCCAAUCAACACCUCCACUCUAUCUCUCUCAAUCUAGUAGAAACUAGAAGAUCUAUUUCUACUUUACACUGGUUGCUAAGCCUAAAAAGAAAUAUUAAUUAGAGAAGAGGUUUUCCUUCGAGGGCACCCCUCAAUCUCUAUGAUAAUUUCUUCAUGUCUUCUCCAGGGGCCAGGGGGUCUCCUUAUAUAGUCCUCCUCCUUUUUGCGUUUUUGGGUCGGUAGGUGAGGUGGUACUAUGUUUUUCUUGAUCCAAUAGGUCGGUGGAAUAUCCCGUGCGAAGAGAGUCCUGAUUGACAUCCAGCAGGGGGCGGGCGCCCAGGUCUCCAGGGCGGGCGCCCUAGGCCUGGCUCCUUUCAGCCUCCGUCUUCUUCCCGUGGCUUCUGGAGUCUUCUUGAUGGUAGAAAAUCGCACGGUGCGUUGAUAUCUCUAUGUAAUCCCGACAUGUGGGCCUUUCUUCCUUAUUUCCUGAUAACCCCCUGCAGAAAUAGAUAAACAACAAAACUCGUGGAAUUCUGUCAGAUCAAACCCUAAUUCUAGGUGUUGGUUGCAUAUUGGUCCUUUCUCUUGUUUAUUUGAUAAUUAAAGUUGAUACUUAAGAACCGUCAACAACAAUCUGAUUUGUAUCCUUGAAAACGCUCCCAUGCUUCUGAAAUGGUUUCUAUCUUCUGCUGUUGGAAACUGACAAUAUUUCCUCUUAAGGCAGUUGUUUUGCCUAUAGGGAAAAACAUUGAAAGAAAGACAUCUGACAAGUUCGUCCAGUUGUUGAUGUUAUCUUGAUGAGUGUAGAACCACUUCCUCGCUUUUCCUUCUAGUGAGAAUGGAAAAAGGCGAAGCAGUAUGAUGUCUUUGUCAACUCCAUUGAUGUGGAUUGUGCUUUCAAUCUCUGAGAAAUUCUACAAGUGUGCACUAGCAUCUUCAUGUGCCUUUCCACUGAAUUGUGUAGCUUGCACCAAAUUGAUGAGGCUUGACUUGAGCUCGAACUCGGGUGCUCCUUCUUCUACUGAAAAUCUUGGACCAGUUGGAAUGUUCUCAAGGCUUGGAGCAGAGAAUUCUUGCAAGGUCUUUUGUGCCAUAGCUUCAGCAAUUGGUAGCUAGCUUCUUCUUUCUUUCUUGAUUGCUUUGGUUCAGAUGAUGAAGAGUUGAAUGUACCCAAAGUCAAUCCUGAUAUACCCUGUUGACACAGCUAACACCACUUAGAUACUAGGUUGUCAUCCCCAGCAUGGUGCCAGAGUGUACAAAGGUUUUUAUAAAUGUAAAGGCUCUCUAGAAAAUAAUCUAUUCUAUCCUCAAGCGCACAGAUAAAAUACCUCAUUGUAGCAUUUCAACAGGAUAAGAAUUCCAGGUAUCGUUAUUUAUAAUUUUGCUCGAGGGAUGAAAUUAAAAUAAGGGGGCAAAAUCUAUCAAGGCAUAGACUAGAGAUAAACUUGUAAGAACAUGAUUACUAAUGAGAAACUCGUCACACAGUCACUUACUUUAGCAGGGGGUAAACCAUAAAGAUAAUGAUAAUAAAGUAUAAGUUCAUGGGUAGAUAACACAACGAUUAGAAAAUAGACUACUCCUCAUAUAUAUAGGUGAUGUCGGAUUAGCUAGAGAAUGGAUUCUAAGUUAUCUACUAACUACUAAGUCAUAAUCAACUCUAGUUAUCUACAAGAUCAUAUAUGGCAUAAAAGACUCUUCAUUCAUGUAUAAGGAACAUUGAUAAAGUAAAUCAGAGCAUCGCAUGACUUACUCCACAAUACCAGUUCUGCCUGUCCUAUCAACGGAGGAUAGACUAUAUAAGAAUCAAUGAAGCUGUCACUAUCGCGAACUACCACACGACCCGGCCAAUAGGAUGCAUUUGCAGAUAAAUAACAUCUAAGCACCACGCUCACAUGUGAUCUAUCACCUAACUCCCUCGCGUCAAGAGCUAAGCGCUUUGCAAACUUAUACAUAAACUCAUUAUCAAUUAGAACUAUAUCAAAUAUAGAACUAGAACAAACUAAGAACAUAAUAAUUAGAGACAUAAUGCAAUUAGAACAAAGAAUUAGAGAAAGAUAUGAAUAAUACCAAUCUUUAUUACCGAAGAUCCGAAUCUAGAGCGUAGUGCUCUACUUCUCUAUUUGCUAUCUAAUCAAACCUCUAAACUUGAAGGAUUAGGGAGUAGCUAAUUCUAUUUCUCUGUGGGAGAGAAGCUCUAAACCCUAACUUUGAUGGCUACCUCUGAAUAAUGAUUUCUUCUCUUCUCCUCCCUCCAGGGGGGGUUUGGCCUUGGUUAUAUAGUCCCCUCAAGUGAACGUGAGACAUUGGAUCAAACCGACAUAGAUUGUAUGGUUUAGAUUGAUCCUUUAGGUCGGUGGAGCGUAGUCCCGAAGCAGAGUCCCGAUUGGGUUCCAACCCUGGGCGGGUGCCCAAGGGGGGUGGGCGGCCGCCCUGCCCCCGAGCCUGAUCGUGCUCUCGUUCGUUCCCAUGGCUUCUGGACCCUUCUAGAUUGAGGAAAAUUGCGCGGCACGUAAUUAUGUCGUUGUAAACAUGACAUGUGGGCCUUCUCUCCAUAUUCUCUGAUAACCCCCUGCAGAAAUAGAUAAACACCAAAGCUCGUGGAAUUCUGUCAGAUAAAACCCUAAUUCUACAUGUUUGUUUCAUAUUGAUCCUUUUUCAUGUUUAUUUGAUUAUUAAUUUUAGUACUUAAGGACCGUCAACAAACUCCCCCAAGCUUACCCUUUGCUCAUCCCUCAGCAACUAGCUAAACUCAGACGGAUCAGGAGUUGCUUUGAUGUUUUCUUUCCUGACAGGCACACAUGCUUUUACAUAAAAUUCUUCCAGAUUAGAGUGAAGUGUUAUGGAGUUUAGUACCUGCACUUAAAUCUUAAGUAAUUGAAAGACAAAAUAGUUAAGUCAAGCACUAUUCCUCCUGUCUAUACUUCACCUUUGUUCCAGAGAUUUUCAUAAGUUUUCAAAAUAAAACUCAGAGUUCCCAGCAAUGAUUCUCUCAAGUCUCUCUAUAUGUGGUAUUUGUGGAUCCUUACCAUAAUGUCACUUACCUAUGGCUAAUGGAAUAUUUAAGUGGAGCUUAUAGGAGUGAAAAAACAGCUUAUACAUAUGUUGUCUAAUCGAGCUAUGGAUCCAAAAGGAUCUCAGCAUAUAAUUAAAUCAAGAUGUGCAUGUGUGGUGGAGUAAAUGAUAGUGAUGAUAAAAAAUGUAUAGGUGCUAAUGAAACUUACUUCUCAUUUCUCCUCAUAUUGCUAUCUCUCCUCUUCUUUGAUCUUUGCUUUGGGAGAACAUGGGCUAUCUUUUUUUUCAGGUGGGUAGUAGAUACCCCUAAUUCUACUGUCGGACACUUGUCCAUUUUUUCGGCUCAAGUGGGCAUCUUUGUACCCCUAAUUCUACUUCGGACACUUGUCAAUUUUUUCCUCUCGUCUCACUGUUUUUCUUUCUUUUUCGAGGUUUCAGGCACUUGCCCCUUUUUAUUUCCUCGCAUAUUUUUGCAUAACCCAUGCCUCUUCUGCAUUGAAUCUUUUUAGAGAGAGAGAAUAACAAUAUUCGGGACAGUGAGUGAUAAUAUUUUUAGCAAUUUUAAUGAUGGGUGAUGGAUGGUGUAGUAGAUGUGUGCAAGUGAAUAUCUUAAUUUAACCAUAUGAAAAGCUCCUAAGGGUCAACACAGCUCGAUCAAACUCAAUGUAAAUAUAGUAAAAGAUGUUAUAGCAAGUAUGGAUGUGGUAGGUAGUUUUGUAUGCUAGGAACUCAUCAUGUGAUUUGCAAGUUUCCAAAAUAAAUCUCCAGAACUUAGUGUAGUAGGAACAAGAUAAACAGUAGCUCAACUUUAUAUCAUGCCUUUCGCUUACCUAGACUUUAAUUUUAUGCUUCCCAAAGAUGGUAAUUUUAGUUUUAGUAAUUCCUGGAAGAACUCUAAUAUAAAAGCUAAGUACUUAAAAGUAAGCAAACAGAGCAACUGUUCAUUAUUUCCAUCAUGCAUCUUUUUGAUCUUUUUGUUUUUUUCUAGAGAUUUUCACUUAACAGAUAAAAUAAAGCACACUUAUCUACACACUCUUUUUAUUUUGUUUUCAUGUUUAUAAAUUGCAGUAAAUUAAAGCAAGAAAAUAUUUAUUUGGUUUUCUAAGUUUUUUCUCCUUAAGAUAAAAUAGAAAAGAAUAAAUAAGAAGAGCAAAUAGAAACUUACUUGAUAAAUUGGGGAGGAACUCCCCCAAGCUGGAUGUUGACGUCGGUCUUACCCGAUGUUCCAGAACCGCAUCAUAGUUGUGAUGUUGUCAUUCAUUGUUGUUGUAUCUUGUCUCAGCUCUUGUACUGCAGCAGCAUGGUCCUGGUUCCAUUUUUGUUGUUCUUCUAGGAGUCUUCCAUGUUCUGCUUGCGUGUUCUGGAUGUCGAGGAGAGUGUUGUCGGUACGAGUGAAGAAAGCACCAACCUCUUGAUAGUAGUCAUUUGUGAAAGCGUAGGAGGCGUCGGAGUAUCGUCCUGCAUCAAAUUGGGGCGGAGGUCUGGAUCCUGAAGCUCCAUAUGGAUCAGUGGAGUACCUGCCCGUAUGAAAAGGUGGGUCUGUCCACUGGUGAUCUUGGCUCUCCGGCCAUGUCUCCUCUGUUGGCUCUUGUGGUUGUGCAUGACGAACCCAUGGGUCUCGAAGGACUCGAGGGUUGUAAUCGCAAUAAUGCAGGUGCGCUGCUUCUUCUGGUCUAGGGUCAGCUCCAUACCAGGUGCGUUCUUGAUGGGUGGUCAUCCUUUCAGAUGCCACUCGCUGUGGAGCUCUCUGGUUCACUGGUGUUGCUGCAAUCUCAAUCAAAAAAUUUUGAACAACGUAUAGGCCAAGGUUCGGGUUAGGUAACCGAAUCUUGCCUCCAUCAUCAUAUAGCAUAUAUAUUAUAUUCCCCUCUUUCUUUAACAUCCGAGCCUGUCUAAAUGUGUCAUAGCCAUGAUAAAUUCUUAAUCAUCUAUGAAGUCCAACGAUGAGUUUUCUAGUAAAUGAAGGUUAGGGCUAGACGAGUGAUAAGUGAAGUACAUCCUACUGGUCCCUGAAGACUAGGUAUACUAAGCCAAUGAGAAACUCAUAGUGUAACUGGUGAAGUGGGUACCUUACUAAUAGCAGCAUAUAAAAGUUGUAAAUCUCCUACUCUUACUUUCCUAAUAUCAUCACGAUAGAAAAGAUUGUACCCAAGCCAUUUGUGGAACAUCCUAAGAGUGGGGUGUGUUGACGGUCCUUAAUGCUCACAUUUAACCAUCAACUAAUCAUGGAAAAGGAUCCAAAUGCAACCAACACCUAGACUUAGGGUUUUAUCUGACAGAAUUCCACGAGUUUUGGUGUUUGUGUAUUUCUGCAGGGGGUUAUCAGGAAAUACGGAAGAAAGGCCCACACGUCACGUUUACAUAGAGAUAUUAACGUGCCGCGCAAUUUUCUAUCAUCUAGAAGACUCUAGAAGCCAUGGGAACAAAGCGAAAGCCAAGAGGCCUCAGGGACAGGGCGCCCGCCCUAGUCCUCAGGGCGCCCGCCCACCUUUCCACCAAACAGAGUCCAAUUCGGGGACAACGCUCCACCGACCUAAAGGAUCAAGGAAAACCGUGCGAUCAAUGUCGGUUUGAUCCGACGGCCCAGAUUCACUUGAAGGGACUAUAAACUAGACCCCCUGGCCCCUGGAGAUCAUACCUCUUCUACAGAAUCAAAGUUAGGGUUUCAAUUCUUCAUCCAAGUAGAGAGGAUCCCUCUAGUUCUUCUAGUUCUACCUCGAGUUCAUCUAGAUCUAGUUCUAGUUCAUCUAGUUCUAGUUCUAGUUCCUCUAGUUCUAGUUCUGGUUAGUUCUAGUUGUAAUUUAGAAAAUAGGGAG
rnacentral:lncRNA from 1 species